UACGUAUGGUGCAAGCGUUAUCCGGAUUUACUGGGUGUAAAGGGAGCGCAGGCGGCACGGCAAGCCUGAUGUGAAAGCCCGCGGCCCAACCGCGGGACUACAUUGGGAACUACCGGGCUGGAGUGCCGGAGAGGUAGGCGGAAUUCCUAGUGUAGCGGUGAAAUGCGUAGAUAUUAGGAGGAACACCAGUGGCGAAGGCGGCCUACUGGACGGUGACUGACGCUGAGGCUCGAAAGCGUGGGGAGCAAACAGG
rnacentral:rRNA from 1 species